rnacentral:rRNA from 1 species
GACGAACGCUGGCGGCGUGCUUAACACAUGCCAGUCGAACGGUGAAGCGCCUUCCUUUUUGGUGGGUGUGGAUGAGUGGCGAACGGGUGAGUAACACGUGAGUAACCUGCCCCCUUCUUCUGGAUAACCGCAUGAAAGUGUGGCUAAUACGGGAUAUUCUGGGUCUGUCGCAUGAUGGGUCUGGGAAAGAUAUUGUUUCGGUGGGGGAUGGGCUCGCGGCCUAUCAGCUUGUUGGUGGGGUGAUGUCCUACCAAGGCGGUGACGGGUAGCCGGCCUGAGAGGGUGGACGGUCACACUGGGACUGAGACACGGCCCAGACUCCUACGGGAGGCAGCAGUGGGGAAUAUUGCACAAUGGGCGCAAGCCUGAUGCAGCGACGCCGCGUGAGGGAUGGAGGCCUGCGGGUUGUGAACCUCUUUCGCCAGUGAAGCAGGCCUGCCUCGUUUGUGGGUGGGUUGACGGUAGCUGGAUAAGAAGCGCCGGCUAACUACGUG